AUCAAAUACAUCACAUCGUGUCCCCAAGUUUUCAACUGCUUAUUUCCAUUCGAUCAAAUCAAACAUGGACAAUAUUAUGUCAUCUGCAUGGACUUUUAUUAUUGACAGUGUAUCAAGCAUUUAUUGUAAACAGGUUGUUAACAAUCAUAAUGAUUACUGGCAUUCCUGAUAAAAAGAAAGCAUUUCACGGCUUUACAAUACUGUCAUUAUUACUACAUCUGAAAUAAAUACAAAUGACCAAUUAUUUAGAAAACUCAAAUAUUGAGUAUGUUCCAAAAAUAAAAGGACCUCAAAUGGCCAGUCACUUCUUAUCACACGCAACCCCUUAUACAUCCAACACAAUUGAUGCAAUAGCUUAUAAAUACAGUUUAGAAAAGUACAGGUCGACUCCUGGUUUCAUUGAAAGUUCUCAUCUAUGGAUGGAGGAGAUGGCCUCUGCUCCGAGAGGUAUCAGAUUGGUUAAAAAUACCUACCCCCAAAAUAACGUAGGAAUUUAAUUUACCUGUACUCAAUGAAACGUACUUUCAUCCAUGUAGUCGCUGAGGCUUGAAGAGUGUGCUUGAGUAGCUGGUCUUAGCCAGCUGUAAAGAUACUACAGUGUUUGGACUGAAGACACCAGGUUCCAAGUUCAGGUUGCUGUCCGGAGAUCCUGACGGGAAUGUUAAGUGUGUCAGGAUGGGGUUGGCCUCAGCCUCGGAGGCCCUGCUGGUUGAGCAACUUGCCAUCAUUCCCUGUCAACACCCAUUCAACCAAGGAGUUACCUGAGAGGAUCAAAUCUCAGCAGGGAUUCCACACCUUCUGUGUGGAAGGAUAAGCAUAAUGUCAUCAGAGACAAUCUGGCAAGAA